UGGGGAAUAUUGCGCAAUGGGCGAAAGCCUGACGCAGCGACGCCGCGUGAGGGAUGAAGGUUUUCGGAUCGUAAACCUCUGUCAGAAGGGAAGAAACCGCACUGUGCUAAUCAGCAGUGCCUUGACGGUACCUUCAAAGGAAGCACCGGCUAACUCCGUGCCAGCAGCCGCGGUAAUACGGAGGGUGCAAGCGUUAAUCGGAAUUACUGGGCGUAAAGCGCACGUAGGCUGCUUUGUAAGUCAGGGGUGAAAUCCCACGGCUCAACCGUGGAACUUCCUUUGAUACUUCUUAGCUUGAGUCCGGGAGAGGGUUGCGGAAUUCCAGGUUUAAGAGUGAAAUCCGUAGAUAUCUGGAGGAACAUCAGUGGCGAAGGCGGCCACCUGGACCGGUAUUUACGCUGAGGUUCGAAAGCGUGGGGAGCAAACAGG
rnacentral:rRNA from 1 species